UUUGAGGCCUCUAAAGGUCGGAUCGAGGGGCAAAGGGUAAAGAGCGACCUUAAUGGCUUUCAAGUUAAAGAACCGACUUCAACGGCUGUUGAUAUAAGAAGUCGGCCCCAAUGGCUCUUAGAACAAGAAAAUCUCAAUGGCCCAAUAUAAUCAUAGUUUUAUGUGCCUAAUCACAUUUCUGACUUGACAAGAUACCACCUAUCCUGUCAUACAAACCGUCAGCCUCUUUGGAUUCCAAAUUAAUGCAUCCAAAUCGGCCUACCAAAAACUCACACAUACCGCUUAAAGUCAUUAUGAGCUAAAUAGGUAAGCUCUAUGACCUAAACAAUUAGCGAGAUGAGGCGGAUCAUACUUGACCUAAUAUCGACUCAUCCAUCUACUUCUUUAGCCCGAACUAAAUGAAAGGCUUAGGCACGGAAGUAGGGGCAUGUGAUGUGGCCAACAUCAAACUUGCUUAGACUCAUAUUUCUAGGCUAAUCCGAAUAAAAAAAGUCUCAAGAUAGUUCUCCACUCGACUUCGGACCUUAGAGCCAAACUCUAGUAGGAUAUAGACUCUUCAUCUAUAAAAGGAGACCCAAGAUGCCAAAUGCGAAACAUGCACAGAGAAAAUACAUACUCUCAACUCUCUCUACACUUUUCUGGUUUCCUCCUCCUGUUGUUUCUCAUAGCCUAGUCUGACUUAAGCAUUGGAGGGCCCCAAGUUAGAUUUGCUCUAGCGAUCUCUAAGUUCUGUCUCUCUUCUCGUGUGAAAGGCAGUAGGCAUAGCUAGGAUCUUCCUCUUCUCGGAGCACAGAUCCGCCAAUGGUUUUUCAUCCAGCAAAUUGGAUUUUGGUAGUGAUAGAAAAAAUUUUGGACACUUGACCUCAGACAAGACCAACCUCUCCAUGACCUUGUCGUCCCUGGGACUACCCGAGGUGAACGACUUUUACCCCUGUCGAGGAGCCAACUAGCCGAGGAGCCAAUCAACCGAGAAGAACAAUCAACAUAUGUCGACAAGAACUAACAAUCCUAACAACCGACAGCUUUGCCAGUCUGCAAUCAUGGCAGCACUGCAGUCUUGCCCAACCAGCGCUACAUGUCGCCCACGCAGAUUGACAUUCAUGUUGUAGCUAUUCUACCGACCUUUACCUGGCCGGAGGAGCUCAACCAAUGACGCCUCGGUUGGCAACUUUCUGGCAAAUGGAUUUCUUGCAGGCCAUCUCCGGAGGAGCUUAACCAUUGAUGCCUCGGCCAGCCUGCUUAGCUCGGUUCCAGCCAAUCUCAGGAUCGCCUGAGCUGCGCUUCAACCUUGGUCUGGAUCCAACGACAAUAAAUUGACUUUAGAGGAAGGGCAUGUCCCCAGCUACAUCAACAUCAAUCAAAGAAAAAGAUAACCAGUAUGAGGUCACGACGAGCCUGCAACAUCAUAUGCUUCAUAAUGCUAUGCUCUGACCUCUCGAGGGUCAUUACAGAGCCCGAAACCUGCUCUGCCAAAACAACCUACCACGUUGGUGGGCAAUGAGUAGUUCAACUUACUCGGUCAGCAGGUGCAGUCGCCGACCGUGAUAGUCUAAGGCCGACAGUAGGCAACAGCACGAUUGGAGCCAAUCCAAUCGGAAUCCGGCCAGCCCAGUCACCACUCUCAUUCAUCAGCGCACUGCAUGCGCCUGGCUAGCCACCGUUCUCAGGAUCGAGAUCUCGAGCAGUUGCAUUAGAGUCGACGCACUCAGUAGAGUAGUUCUGGUUGGGAUGAGAAACAGUGUAUUUCAAGCCCCCAUUCUAGUGGAGACUCCGCUCUGAGCCUCUCACCUCCUCACUACGUGGAGCUCCUGCCUCAAUGGGAUGCCGACCUCGAUAGAAAAAUUGAGAAAAAUGGGCCGACAUAUCUAAUUUUUCAAAGUAUAGGUUCCAAGGGCAAAUAACGACCUCAACUUCUUCUUGAAAUCCUUCUCCCAAUAGAUCAUGAAGGAUUCAAUUCCACCUUGGUUCAAGAUGUCCCAAGUGGAGUCGUCUGAUGGCACCAUUGAUCCCCUAGACCACCUGGAGAGCUUCAAUGCUCUCAUGUUGCUAUGCGGAGCUACCGACGUCAUGUUGUGCAAGAUGUUUCCGACGACCAUUCGCACUCGGUUUUAGUUCUCUGGGCUUCGGUCCAAAACUUUUCAUUUCUUCGACCAGCUUGCUCGCCUCUUCGGACGUGCUACUCGACAUCAAGCAGUAAGAGAAAAAGUUCCUUAGGAACUAUGUUGGCCGCUUCAAUGCGGCAACACUGGAGGUCCGUGUCUUAGAUCAGUCGAUCGCGAUGUUGGCAAUAAAGAGUGGUCUGCAACCAUCGCGCUUUCUCUUCUCUCUAGAAAAGCUCUUUCCGAUGGACUUCGCUGCAAUGCUAGCAUGUGUAGACAAAUAUGCGAAUGUGGAGGAAGCCAUGACCUCCUAUCACAAGUUUGCUAGCGGAAGACUUCCCUAAGGAGCCAAAGGGGACACAAAGAGAGAAAGGAGCCGAGGGCUUCCUCACCUUGUCAUAAGAGUGCUUGCUUCAGUCUCUAAUCCGCCAUCUUUAAAGCCGAUUGACAAUCGUUCGACCUCAGGCGUCAUCAAGUAGUCGAGCUCUCCAAGAGGCUGAAACUACCCUAAGUGGACCUCUUGCGGUCCCAGACACCUCAAGUAGUCGAGCUCCCCAAGAGGCUGAAACUACCCUGAAGAGACGACAUGCAGGGGACGUCAUCACCUUCUUUGAUGCCAACCUGGGAGGAGUACGGAUUCCUCAUGAUAACGUUGUAGUCAUUUUUUUUACUAUCACAAAAUAUGAUGUAAAAAGAAUACUUCUUGAUAAGAGAAGCUUGACCGAUGUGUUAUUUUACGAUGCUUUUCAAAGAAUGAGGCUACCAGUCGAACAGCUCCGAAAGGUCAACACUCCUUUAGUCGGCUUUUUGGGAGAGUCAAUUCUCGUAGAAGGAGUAAUCAAUCUGCCGGUCACCGCGAGACAAGAACCUCAAAGUAACACUUUGAGGCUAGACUUCCUUGUGGUUCGAGUUCUCUCGGCCUACAACGUAAUCCUGAGCCGAGCAGGCCUAAAUGCUUUUCGAGCCAUGUACCACUUGCUCAUGUGAUUCCCCACGAGGAGUAGAAUGAGAGAAAUCUAAGGUGACUAGAUGAUAGCUUGUCAAUGCUAUAUGGCCGCAAGGGACAAGCUCAAGGAGCAGCGAUGAGAAUUGGCCGAAGAGCUGAUGAUGGUCCCCCUGAAGAAUGACGAGCUUGGCCGAACCGUGUAGAUUGGCUCGAGCCUAAAUGAAAAGGACCAGGUCAGGAUGAUCGGCUACCUCCGGGCCAAUGCCGAUGUCUUCGCUUGGUCGGUCACCGACAUGCGAGGCAUAAGUCCUGAGGUGAUGGUUCAUAAGCAGAACGUGGACUUGACUCACUGAUUUGUGCAGCAUAAGUAAAGAAACUUCACCCUGAAAAGGCAGCAGAUCAUAACUAGAAGGUCGACAAGCUCCUAGAGCUAGCUUUGUCCGUGAGGAAGCUAUUUUGAUUGGCUAGCCAAUGUUGUACUUGUUAGAAAUCUAAUGAAAAGUGGCCAGUUUGCAUCGACUACACCGAUCUGAUUAAAGCUUGCCCAAAAGAUACCUUUCCACUCCUGAGGAUUGAUCACCUCAUGGAUGCAACCUUUGGAUACCAGCAAUUGAUAAUCAUAGAUGCCUUCUCCGGUUACAGCCAGAUUCAAAUGGCACCUAGGGACGAGGAGAAAACUGCCUUCCUCACCAACAAAGGCAUCUACUGCUAUAAGGUAAUGCCCUUUCGAUUAAAAAAUACAUGGGCGAUUGACCAGCGCCUCAUCAAUAAGAUCUUCAAAGAGUAGAUUGACCGAAAUAUAAAAGUGUACAAGGAAGACAUGCUUAUGAAGAGUUGAGUAGUAGAGCAUCACACAGCCAACCUAGAGGAGAUCUUUGUGACUUUGAGAAGGUAUAAUAUGAAGCUCAACUCGACGAAGUAUGCUUAUGGGGUUACUUCGAGAAAUUUUCUAGAAUUCAUAGUGAUGCAGCAAGGCAUCAAUGCGAAUCCCGAGAAAAUCCGAGCUAUGCAACAAAUGUAGCUCCCUAAGAAUAUCAAAGAAGUCCAAUGACUAACUAGACGAAUGGCCACACUCAUGAGGUUCAUCUCCAAAUUGGCAGAGCGCUGCCUCCCAUUCUUCAAAGCUUUGAAGCACCCGAAGGACUUUCAAUGGACCAACGAGUGUCAAGAGGCCUUAGAGCAAUUUAAGGAGUACCUUAGCUUGUCGCCCUUCCUCACUAAAGCAUAGGUCAGAGAGAUGCUCUACCUAUACUUAGCCAUUUCUCCUACUAUGAGCUCGAUUUUGGUACGAGAAGAAAAAGAAAUGCCAGAAGUUGAUCUACUAUAUAAGUUGGAUUCUGCGCGAUGCCGAGAUGAGAUACUCCAAACUAGAGAAGACGAUCUAUGCACUUAUUGCUUCAGCUCGAAAACUCCGACUAUAUUUCCAAGCCCUUUCAAUGACAGCCCUAACCGACCAACCAACAAGAUAGAUUCUGCAAAAGCCUGAAAUAUAGGUCGGUUGGCAAAGUGGGCAGUGGAUCUUGGAGAGUUCGACCUCGAAUAUUGACCUCAACCAUCUAUUAAGGCACAGGCACUGGCAGAUUUUCUGGUGGAAUGCACCAUCCUAGAUGAAGACCCUACAGAGCUCCCCAGAAAGAAGACCACAGAGCGGUCGUGGAUUCUGCACGUAUAUGGGUCGUCGGGCCUGGGGGUGGCAGGGUAGGACUUAUCCUCACUAGUCUGGAUGGAGUAAUCAUAUAGUAUGCCCUACGAUUCGAGUUUUUGGCCUCAAAUAAUGAGGAUGAGUAUGAGGCGCUCAUCACCAGACUCAAGCUUUCUAAGGAGCUCGAAGCUAGCAACUGAAGGUCUUUAGCGACUUGCAACUGGUUGUCGGCCAAGUGUGAGGAGAAUUUGAGGCCUGGAGACCGUCGAUGAUCAAAUAUAUACAAAAGGUAAAGGACGUCACCUUAGCUUUUUAUAGUUUUUACAUAUAACAGAUCCCUCGGACAGAGAAUACAAGGGCCGACCUGUUGUCAAGAUUGGCCACCUCGAAGACUACCGAGCUGAUGAAGUCCACUUCCCUCGAAGUCCUGGAGGCACCGAGCAUCGAUGAGCCAAGCUGGAUAGAUCCUCUCAUCAACUUCUUGAAGGACAGAAAAGUGUCUGAAGAUUGAGCUAGAGCUUGCUGGAUAAAGCACCAAGCCUCGCACUAUGUCCUCCUUCAUGACAAGUUAUAUCGGAGAUCGUUCUUGCUGUCGCUCCUCAAAUAUCUGCGUCCGACCAAGGCAGAUUAUGUACUUCAGAAGUGCAUGAGGAAAUUUGUGGCAAUCACCUGAGGGGCAGGUCUUUGGCCUACAAAAUUCUGUGGUAAGGAUACUAUUAGUCGACCUUGCACAGGGAUGUGGCCGACUUUGUCAAAAAGUGUGACCGAUAUCAGCGCUAUGCAAGCAUCCAACGGUGACCAGCUAUGCUAUUGAUGCUGAUUAGCACCCCUUGGCCUUUUGCACAAUGGGGAAUUGACAUCCUCGGACCCUUUCCAUUGGCAACAGAGCAGUGCAAAUUUCUCUUCAGGGUGGUAGACUACUUCACUAAAUAGGCAAAAGUCGAACCAGUAGCUCAGAUUACCGAGGCGAAAGUUCGAGACUUCGUCCGGCAAGCCAUUAUUUGCAGAUUCGGACUUCUCUAGGUGAUCAUCAUAGACAACAGGCAUCAAUUUGACAAUGCCCGAUUCAAGAAGUUUUGCUUUGAACUCGGGAUUAACCACCAGUUCACCUCGGCGGUGAAAGUGAACCUAGGUUCUUCGGUGUUAAGCAUGCUGAAUUUUUUUUUUUAAAACCAUGGCUGAACCUGAUUGGGUUGCCUACGUACUUAGUUCUUUUUAAGUUUCAAAAAACGCAGCGAAAAAAUCGAAUCAAACAAUUUAAUUCGUGCAUCCUUAUAAGAUCAAAUCUAGAAAUUAGCACUGUAAGAACACAUAGGAUUAUGCCGGAAUCGUUUAAACAAUUAUGCUAAAACUUUAUACAUCAUUAACUAUCAGAUCUGAAAGUUAAACACUCUAUUCCGAUUAAUCUCCGAAUAUCCAUCGAAUGGAUUCUGAAGAUAACUCUGUGAGGAGCCCCAAAGGAGGGUAAAACUUCGGAGAAUCAGACCUAGACCCUGACACCAAAAUAAAAGAUUGAUAUGGGAUUAAUACCUUUUAUGAUGGAUGAAACUUAUAGAUCUGAUCAUUGACUUCGCAGCCACGCACACGAAUGGCCUCUACGAGAAGUACACAUGAAGUUUCUGGAGAGAUCCAAUCCUGCGGAAGUACUAGCUUACGCAGAAUUUCUUAAGGCUGAAAUUUGAUCUUCCUAACGCUAUCAACUUUUGAUCCGCCUUCUUGGAAGAACUUGGAGAAAAGGUUUAGAGAGAUUGAAGAGGACUUAGAUCUGAUCUAAAGACUCUUAUUAGGGAUCCCUAGCAGCUAUGGCAACAUGAACUUAGUAGAUUAACUAAUGGCGAGUGGAAGGCUGAUUUUUCUUUUCAUGCAUUAGGUUCUUCCCUUUUUUUCUUCUUUUUUUCUUUCUUUUUUCCUUGAAUUCGACCACCAGCUGAUGGACGUCCUUUUAAUAUUUCUCUCCUCUCUAACUUCACGCCAACCAUCCCAUAUUUGGAGAGGAUUUUGUGGGGUUUUGAAUUUUAAAUUCAAAAUUCAAGUUCAUGUGCCAUCACAUGAUGAAGCUUGAUCUAAUCUAAACCAUUCAUCAUGUCGUCACUUCUUUCUUUCAAUUUCGAAUUUUCAUGCCCACAACCAGAUUAGAGAGUCAUGUGGUGAUUUUGUGGCGUUUAAAUUUGAAAUUCAAACUUAAUUAGAAGUGAGAUAAAGAUAAAGAUGACAUAUGCCAUGAAGAAAGAUAAUUUGAUCUUAUCCAAUUCUUUUCAUGAAUUUAUCUCUCCAUGUCACCCCAUCUGAUGAUGAAGGAGGUCCCUGAUAUGUGCCACAUGUCCCAUGGCACCAUUAAAUAAAUUAAAUUAAUUUUUAAUCAUAUUAAAAAAUUAAUUUAUGGCGCCAUGCAUUGACAUGUGGAUUUUAAGAUCCGAACAGUUUUAGAUCAAACCCAUUUAAUUAAAUUAAAUCCUAACAAUUAGGAUGGUCCAAUUACCUUGGGUUGAACCUAAUCCAAUUAGGUCAAUCCCUAAUUAAGCAUAAAUUUAAUCUAAUUUAAUUUGAUCAACCUAAGUCCUCUUGAUUCAGACCUAAUCCAAUCAGGUCAAAAAUACUGAUUGAGCCCAGAAUUGAAUCCAAUUCAAUUUGGCUCAUCCUUAGUCCAAUUACUGAAUCAAAUAGAGUUUAUUAGUAAUCUAGUUACUAAUUAAUCCUCCAAUAAUUAUUUUAAUUAUUUUAUAGGAUAAUUUUUCAAUCGAAUUGACCAAAUUAUUCCUGAAUGAUUCUCAAUCAUCUAUCAGUCAUCUUGAUUAAUCAGGAAACUUCUAUGCGUGUGACCUCAUAGGUUCGAACCUAAGCCGGUAGUAUAGGAAUGUCUUCCUACACUAAUCGAUGUGAGCAUCUAGUAAUGGUACCCGACGUCUAGAUAGGCCGAAUAUAUGCGAAGCAAAUAUUCUGGAAUCCUGGAUUAUGGUUAUUGUAUAAUUCAAUCCCUUUAACUCCUAAUGCCAGGAUGACUUAGAGCUCACUGUCAACCCUAUAAUUAGUACAUCCAUUAUGUGAUUAACUUUAGAUAUCCCGUGACUCCUCACUGGGAUUACCCUAGCUAAGAUUUUGCUAAAUUAAUCACAAGACGUUAUCUCCUAUUUUCAGAAGGGGUCAAUUCCAUCUCGACUCACAAUUGACUACGCAAGUACUUGACUGCACCCAGUGACCUUCCGUCACUGAAUUAGAAAUUCAGGUAGUCCAGUACCAAAGUAUAGUGAGUUGCUUGCUAGUCACAAGUUGCGGUCUCAGGUCAGAGGGCCAAACUUAUACUCAUAUCCACUCGGAACAUCUCUUGACAGUAGAGCAUUUCGGAAUUGGUCACGUUCAGUGAAAUAUACUCUUACACUUCACCUGUGUGGCAUAUCAGUGUCUCCACACUUCUUAGUUAAGAGGACAACCAACGUAUAUGUCACACAACGACCUAAUCUCGAUAAUGCUGUCGUCCUAGUAACAAAAUAUCAUUUGGUCGCGAACAAGUUUAAGGACUCAAAGAUAAAUCCUUCUUUAUUAUAACAUAAUUCCUAAGAACUUCAUCAUAUAAGAGUUCAUUUGAAGAUGAAAUGAUGAAUAAUGCCAAAUAACACUUUAUUAAUAUGUCAAUUCAUUUACAAAAUUCAAUAAUCAACAUGCUGACGAUUGACAUUUAGGAUAAAAUUUCCAACAGGUGGCACACCCGCAGACCAAUGGAGAGGCUGAGAUGACCAACCAGACUAUCUUGGAGGGGCUAAAGGCAAGGCUUGAUCGAGCAAAAAGGUUGUGGGCUGAAGAGCUAUAUAGUGUCAUGUGGGUAUACCACAUGGCACAUUGCAUCCCCACGAGAGAGAUGCCCUUCAAUAUUGUCUUUGGAAUGAAGACAGUGAUCCCACUGGAGAUCGAGCUUCCAUCACUCCAGGUAGAAGGCUUCGAUGACCAAACGAACUCAGAUCAGCCCCGAGCCAACCUCAACUUGCUGGAAGAAACUAGAAAAUGAGCUCAAAUCUGCAUGGCAGCAUACCAGCGGAAAGCAGCUCGGUGCUAUAACUCCAGGGUUAAAAGCAAGCUCUUUCGAUCCGAUGACCUCGUCUUGAGAAAGAUUGAAGCAUCCCGACCAGAAGAACUCGAAAAUCCAAGCCCAAAUUGAGAAGACCCAUAUCGAAUAGCCGAAGUUAUAUGGCUAGGAGCAUAUAGGUUGGAGUAGCUUGAUGGCAUCAUGAUUCCACGGACUUGGAACUCCGACAACCUUUGCACCUAUUAUCAGUAAGGCUCAUUAUAGUCUAGACUUAUUUUUAAUAAAAAUUCUCCUGUUGUAUUUGUCUUUUAGAUAGGAUGACUAUGGCAACCGGAUUCGACUUGGGAUACCCCAGGGAUGCUUGGGCCCCAAUAAAGGAGACCCUUUGAGGAUACCUAGGGCCUCCUUAAACCGAAUUUGCUUGGGAUUCCUUUGAGGGUAAAAACUCCAGAGAUGGCUAACAAGAGAGACAACCCGGAGACCAACCUAGAACUUUCUCAAGACCGAGCCCACUUAUAAUUCCUCUAGGACCAUAGUAUAGAGAUGCUUUUGGGACCAUAGUAUAGAACUGAAAGGAGACAACUUGGGUCAACCUAGGACUUCCUUAAGACCGAGCCCAUCCAAAAUUCCUUUGGGACUGUAGUCCAAAGAUGAAAGAAGACACCCUGGGUCGACCUAAGACCUUCUUAAGGCCGAGCCCACUUGAAAUUUCUCUAGGACUAUGGUCGAGAAAUGCCUCUGAGACCAUAGUCCAGAGAUGAAAGGAGAUACCUCGGGCCGACUUAGGACCUCCUCAAGACCAAGCCCACUCAAAAUUCCUCUGGAGCCUUAGUCCAGAGAUGCCUUUGGGACUGUAGUCCAGAGAUGAAAGGAAACACCUCGGGCCAACCUGGGACCACCUCAAGAUCGAGCCCACUCGAAAUUCCUCUAGGACCAUAGUCUAGAGAUGCCUCAGGGAUCGUAGUCUAGAGAUGAAAGGAGACACCCCGGGUUGAUCUGGAACCUCCUAAAGACCGAGCCCACUCGAAAUUCCUCUAGGACCAUAGUCCAAGGAUGCCUCUAGGAUCAUAGUCUGGAGAUGCCCAAUAAAGGAGACACCCCAGGUUGACCUGGGACCUCUUUCAGCCGAGCUCACUCAAAAUUUCUAGGGAGCCAAACUUUGAAAAGAUUGACCGAGGAGCCAAAGACAAGCUAAAGCCCCUAAGGAGAAGCGUUUAGUGUAACAACCCAAACUCAAACCAAGAAAUGAACAACACAAGUAAAGACUGAAGUUAGGUAUUUUGAAAAAUUGUUUACUUUCAUUAUCUUUUAGUAUAUACAUUGAUCUCGACAGAAGUCGAGCAAAAAGAGUUACAAAAGAAGGUCGAAGCUUGGGGCAACGAUUUGAACUCGGAGAAAAGACAAACAAUGAGGACAAAAAUUGAAGCCAAGAAAGUACUUUGAAAAUUCUUAACUUUCAUUAUAUUUUGAACUUUUAUACUGACCUUAGUAGAGGCUGAACAAAAAAAAAGUACAUCGAGCUCGGCUAAUCCGAGCAAAAGGAAGAAAGAACAACAAAUGGAAAGGCAUGACUUCAUUCCUCACUUUCUCUACCUCCACCACUCUCGAGACCGCCAUCAUCGUCGCUGACUUUAUCGCCCCCGCCUUCACCAACGUCGUCGUCAUCAUCGUCAAGGCCAGAGAUGUCCAUCUAUGGGAAGAGUCAUUGAGCUCGAGCUCAUCACUCCUCGAAGCCCUUCUCGAAGGUGUCGGUCGCAUUUUCCAUGAUCUUCUCUUGGAAUUCCUCCGAGACACAUUACUCCUCGACCGCAUUCGCGACCUUUGCCUCAGCGCAAGUGGCUUGCUCCCUAGACUCGGCAGCCUGCUGUUUGGCCUUAGCAGCCUUCUGCUCGGCUCACACUAGCUUCGCAGAAAGCUCCACGACCCUCUACUUUGCAGCUUUGAUGGCUUCUAUGCUCGUGGACAGUUGGGCCUCCUUCGUUUUUACUUGGGUUUGUAUGGCCAAGACAGAGAUUCUACCAACUCAAUCUUGUCUUCAUCCUCUGCCACCUCCUCGGCUAGAUGGGCGCGCCCUUCGGUAGCCUCCCCCUUCGCCCUGAGCACCGAGCUGCGCUUCGCGAGCAUCAUGAGCAUCUCAUGCGCAUAGCUGAUCUCAUGGGCAUGCUGAAAAGAAGAAUAAGGGUCAGUAGCUGAAGUGAAGAAUUUAGUGGAGGUUUGUAAGUUAGAAGCAUACCUGGAUGACUAUAGUGAAGGCCUCAUUGAAGAAAUUACUGGCGCUAUCACAAUGCAUUACCUCCUUGUCGACUGGGAGCCGUAUGGCUUGGACUAACUCCUUCACCAUCCUGGGGGUCGCUAGAGCUAAAUCUGAUUCUUGGACGGACCACCCUGGGGAGUAGAUCUUGGAGACAUGGGCCGGAGCUGGAGGGCCCUCCUCAAGAAUAGAUGGACUUGGAUCUGACCGAGCCGAGGUGAGGGCCCCCAAGGACAAUCAGUGUGGAGGCAUGGCGGCAAUGCGGGGUUGAGCGAGGACAACCUCCUCCGAAGGGGCUGACCUGAUUAGCGACACAACCUCGGCCCCAACGUCAAGCACCAUUGUCUCCCCCCAAGGUACAGGCACCUCAGGGUAGACUUCAGGAACCGAGGCCUCGAUGGUAGCUCCGAUAGCACAAGCCAAGGAGAUCUCCCCCCAGACCUUUUCCCUUGAGGGGCAUCACCCUCAGUGGUCGCGACUAACCUCUUUUUUAUCUUCCUCCUCUGACGGAUCGACACGAGGUUAGUCUUCAUGGCAGUGAGAACUGCAGAACCGAGGACAAGGUCGGAAAGGAAUGUGACAAGGUGAGAAAGUAGAAGAAAAAUUCAGGAGUAACUUACCCUAGGGGUCGGCUGAGCUCAGACCGAUGUUGAUCAGCAUCUCCUUGGACAACAACUCCUACAAUGUAGGAAUCUCGGAUCAAGACUAGAGACGCUUGUCCAAUGCCUUUUGAUCGCCAUUAGAUAGCUUUUGGGGCCGAUUCAAAUUUCUUCGAGGUUUCCUUCAUACGGUCUCAAACCACCAUAGCUGCUCGGGAAAAAUGAAGAAAAACCUCCCUUUACAUCUGUGGAUGGAGGAGGGAGUACUUCGGAGCAACUGGCGACAAGGUUCGCCGUACCGGUAUCGAAUCCUGUAUCGGUGCCAUACUAUCAUAGUGUCGGUACGGUAUGGUAUGCAGUACGUCAGCAUACCGAGUGCAGUACACCAUCGGUACCGAUAUUGGUACGGUACAAUACAUCAUAUCAUGACUGGCGGUCUUUUCGAAGAGAAAAUACCACAAGCUAUUGUCUCGAAGAUGCUUCUUUAGAGUGAAGCAUUCCUGAAAGAGGAGAAUCGAGGUCUAGAUGCCCUAGAGAAAACAAAGAGAAAGGAAGCCGACGAGGACCCGCUAGGAGUUUGGGACUAGUUGGUUCGGGAUGAGGCUAUAGGCCCUCAUCAGCUUGAUAAAGAAGGGUAGAGAGGUAGUCUCAGCCUGGCCCUCAGAGUCUCCUCGUACAUGCUAAGUCGAGGAGGAGGUCGGAUAACCCGGUCACUGGGGAUGGCGAGCUUGAGGACAAACUCGGAAAGAAUAAAAUGCUGGGCUCGGACGAGGUCCAUCUCCUCUUGUGUGAGGAUGGAUACCUCGUGGUCUGGACUCGAUUGGACCUCGGACUCGGCCGAAGGCAACGACUGUCGAGCCUGGAGAGAUGGGUCCGACGACCACCUCCCCUCCUAGGCGUUAAUCUCACUGUCACUCAUGGUGGGAAAGAUGAAGAAGGAUGAAUAGACGAGGAAGCGAGGAAGAAGACGAAGAAAAGCGGCCGAGGAUGCUAGUGCUGGAGGAACAGAGAUUCGCCGGAGCACCAUCCGGGAGCCUGAACACUUGGGCACUCGAGCAGAGCAAAUAAAGCAAGAAGUAUAAGCUGAAGGAAGUAGGCACCCUUAUAUAGAGCACGCGCGGGCAGCCCUGAUCGAAGUGCCGGUUCGAGUACUCGGUCAAAUCGAGCUAUGUGUCAGUCAAAGGUACAAGACGGGUGAUUUGCCGGAUUGCUGUAUUAAUAGAGCCCCAGAGUCACCCUACAAUGAUGAAGCCGUGGGAUAGCCCCCCAAUAAUGAUGCCUCAGGACACCCCGGAUACGGCGACACUUUAAGAAGACCGACCGACGCAUUUAACGCCCUUGACCAAGAGGAGAUCAGCCAAGCUAUGGGAUAACCCCGCAAUGAUAAUGCCUUAGGACAUCUCACCUUCGAUCGAGUUGACAAUUUAACUUCUGUCGCCUGAACUAGAAUACAGUUCGGCCUCCAAAGUAGAGGGCAAGUGAUGGAGAAAAUAUUAAAUACUUGACCUCAGACAAGACCGACCUCUCCAUGACCUUGGCAUAAAGGUCUACCCGAGGUGAACGACUUCGCCCCUUGCCGAGGAGCCGACCAACCAAGGAGCCAAUCAACCGAGAAGAACAAUUAGCAUGUAUCGACAAGGACUGAUAGUUCUAAUAACUGACAACUCUAUCAGCCUACAGUCAUGGCGACAUUACAGUCUGCGCCCGACCAGCGCUGCAUGCCAUCCAUGCGGACUGGCGUUUGCACCGUAGCCGUACUACUAGUCGUUACCUAGCCAUUGGUGCAUGCCAUGUCAGCCCGGGUAAUGACAAAAUAUGCUCCUCUAUAUAAAGCGGCAGCCCAGAGGACCUCAGGUACGUAACAAAAAUGCAAGAACACACAUGCAAUAUUAUUUACAGAGAACCACCAUCUACUGAAGUUUUCUUCCUCCCAUAUUGUUGACUCUCUAUUCCGACUUAGACAUCGGAGGGUUCCCGCUAGAAAUUGUCCGGCAAACGGUCUUCUUGCAUGCUACCUUCGGAGGAGCUCGACUACGGAAGCCUCGGCCAACCUGCUCAGCUCGAUUUCAGUCGACCUCAGGGUUGUCCAAGUUGCGCUUCGAUGUCGGUCCGGAUCCAACAUAGUAACAAUUAUGAUCCUAAGAAACAAAUUACUGUUUAUAGAUUUUGCUAAUUUUCUCUCUUUGUAAAGAUUCUAGGAGCCUUGCAUACAUUAAAUCCACUCUCCAACCCCCAAAUCUCCUAUUGCAUAUUGUCCUCUUAUUCAUGCUCGACUAAUGUGGAAUAAUACUACAGGGCCAAGCUUGGUACUAAAAAAUACGUUCAUGCCAAGUAAUGAAGGUAUCACAAGCAUGGUGUAUGUUAGCUCUACCCUCCAGCCCCCAGCGUCAUGUUGCAUGGUCCUCCUUUGCAUGCAUAGGUGAUAUAGAGUAACGAUGGGGGGCCGAGUACGGUAAAAAAAACACACACAAAAAAAAGACUCAUAACUAGGGUGCCAUAUGACAAUAGGAAAUUUGUGCCUUCUAGAUGUCAGCACCAUGCAUGACGGGCUGGUGCAAGGAACCAAUUCCCUUACGACGCCUGGCUCCGAAGCUUUUCCUAGUUUCAGAUUUGGGUCCUAGCGUAUAUUCUUCUACGAACUGUACAAAAUUUAGAGCUGAGAGAGGAGGGGGAGGAGGUGCACUUAGUUUAUGCGGACGGUCGCAUCUGAUCAUUAUAAAUGCAAAUAGAAUGGAAACACCCGGGCCACGUGGUCAAGAUACCGGACGGCCGGCAAGCUCCAACUCCCAUCGCCCAUUGGACGAGCCCAAUCACCAAUUCCCUCCACCCCGAUCCCCCAUCUCAUCGAUCAACCGAAGAAAUCCCCCAUCUAUUAUUCCGUUACCGGCGUCGCCGCCGCAGCAAAAUCGAGUUAUCAGAAGUAAAGAAAUCAGGCGAAUUCCUUCCUUGGAUCAAUCAAUUAACUCCCAUCAAGGGGUCGGAGUAGAGAGAUCUGAGCGAGCGGCCACCGGAGGACCGCGGUAGAGGUGGAGAGAUGGUGCCGGACGCCGGCGCGGAGGACGAGGAGAAGUGGCUGGCCGAGGGCAUCGCCGGCCUCCAGCACAACGCCUUCUACAUGCACCGCUCUCUGGUCGGCCCCCAAACCCCCCAAACCCUAAUUCCGAGAAUGCUCUUUUUAUAUAUAUAUAUAUAUAUAUGUAUAUAGUGUUGAUCCCCUCCUUCUUAGGACUCCAAUAACCUGAGGGAUGCUCUCAAGUUCUCCGCCCAGAUGCUCUCGGAGCUGCGGACUUCCCGGCUCUCCCCGCACAAAUACUACGAGCUUUGAUGCGAUCCAACAUGCGGGCUUUUGAUGAGUUGCGGAAGCUGGAGAUGUUCUUCAGGGAGGAGGACCAAGCGUGGCAGCUUCUCCGUGAUCGAUCUGUACGAGCUCGUGCAGCAUGCGGGGAACAUCUUGCCCAGGCUGUAAGACAUGUGACUUACCCUAUCUCUUUGUGCUAAGUUCUGAAUUGAUGAUCGACUUAGAUGCCAGUUUGAUGGACUUGCCCUUUAGAUAUGCAGUUGCAUGUGUUGCUUAGGAAGACUUGUAACGAAUCCGUAGUUGCAUUGGUGUUUUCUUGAGGAGUGCCCAUCUGUAAAAAGACUUUUUAGUAUAGUUGAUCUUGGAAGUAAGCAUUUUAAUCCAGGAUGGUCCUGGAACAAACUGUUGAUCGAAUUGCUGAUGUUUAGCAUGAAGGUUGGGCGAAAAUAGUUAGAAAUAAACUUUCAUAGGUGAACAAACUCUUUAAAAUAUAAAAAAAUAAGAGGUGAAUUGAAUAUGUAAGAAAGAAGUUUAAUUUUGGUCAACCAGAAUCAAAUUGAAUGAUUUAAGGGCAAAAGGCAUCAAAAUUGGCAUUUUCUAAGAAUCAAAAGUUGAACUGUAAAUGGGUGCAAAAGAUGCUCUAGAGAAGGUAAUGAUUCUUGUUUAUUUGGACUUUAAUUGGAGUGCAAGUAUGUCAGCUACAUUAGCUUAAAUGGAAAAAGACUGCCCGUCAAAGUUAAUUAUCUUAGAAAUUUCAAUCAUUUUUUUGAACAAUGAUUUGGGAUUUAAACCAAAUUUAAAAGUUUCCACCUCAGCAUUUUCCCCCCAUAACUAGGUCAUGGAGAAUGAUUGAAACCUCCAUCUCUAUGCUACUUACUGACCUGAAUAAAGUUCAAGAAAUCUGGUUUCAAGAAUGUUGCAUCGAGUCUGAUGGAUAAAACUUUGAAUGAUUAUGUCGAAUUCUAAUAGAUCAUUGACCCAUGGAUGGCAGUUGAUGGGCCAUUAAAUACUGCCAAUGCUGUAGUGAAGUUUUUGACAUGGAUGGGAAUGUGCGAUUAGUGGAUCCUAGUAAAUCUUUGAAGAAUUUGGUCCUAAAAUGGUGAUCGGUUUCGCUAAUUCUAUGCAAUGUGAGGCAAGUACUGAAAUAAUCUCAAUAAUCAUGUCACAUCAUUGAGCCAAAUAAAGUUAAAUGUGCAGACUUGCAUGUAAUGAGCAAGAUCAGGCAUAAAGAUUGCAUCUAAAUAAAAUGUUACAAAUUCUUUGUUGUUAAAGGGAUGGAAUGAGAUAUAGGCAGUGCAUGGGACAUAUAAUUUCUAUGCUGUAUUGACAGAAUGUUACUUCUUCUAACACUAAUGAAGAAUCAGUAUACCUUAAUAAUUAUAGAAGCUCAAUUGUUAUGCCAUUUUUUGUCUCACUGUUGAUUUAUGAGCUUGUUUAUAAUGCUUCAGUUAAACUUUUUUUUCCUUUUCAAGUAUUACAUCUGAUAUAUUUCUGAGUUACAUAUAUGAUGAUGUCAUAUUUUUUCCAUUUCUUCAAAUUUUAGUAUGGAUGUUUAAUAUUAUUCAAGCAUUAGAUCCUUGAUUGUUAAUUGAACUUUUCUUGUUCAAAAUUAGGGUACUCAAAGUCAUGAGGGAAUUUUCGUUUAUGAGUUUUUCUUGGUUGUAAAGCAUUUGAUUCGAUUAGUUGGUAGUAGUUGUUCUGUGUUAUUUUAUUUUAUGGAUCUUGUCUUCUGUCCUCUUUUUCAUUCGAGGCCAUUUUAAUAUAGUCCACUUUGAUUUAUUUUGUUUUCUUUACUUUGUAUCCGAGUAAUUUAACCUUUCCUUGCAUCCAUCAAAUCAAAGGAUGUAAUAAACUUUCACAGAAUCGUCUUAUUCAUGUAUAUGAAGUUCAGAUUGUUGAUUUAUCAGGUAUCUCCUCUGCACAGUAGGAUCUGUAUACAUCAAAUCAAAGGAGGCACCUGCCAAGGAUGUUCUUAAAGACCUUGUAGAAAUGUGCCGUGGCAUUCAGCAUCCUGUUCGUGGACUUUUCUUAAGAAGUUACCUCUCUCAAAUCAGCAGGGACAAGUUGCCUGAUAUUGGUUCUGAGUAUGAAGGGUAAGAAGGAUUUGUGAUAAAUAAUAUAUUUUUUAGCAAAAAUACACUGAUGUGUUUCUUUUCUAGCUUCGGAGUCUUUCAUUGAUGCGAGUUGUCUAUUCAAGGAGCAUCUCAUGUUUUACCAGAAAAGAAGGAGCAUUUCAUGUGAUAUAAAUGACAGGCCGUGUUUGUUAUCAUAUCAUCUAUUUUUGCACUACUUGGAGCAAAAAUGGGAGUUGUUGUUGAGACGAGUCUGUUUUGAUUUGUGAAGCCUAGAAAUUUUUUGCUGUCUAAAUUGAUUGCUGAGUGAACCUUUUAUGUUAAAUUAGCAAAACAUUCUACAAGCCUACCUGCAUUGGGUACUGUUUAAUUGCUUCCUACUGAUCCACAGGAGUCAUUUUGUGUCAUUGAAAUGUUAUUAAGGCAAUUCUUUCAUUCGUAUGAGGAACAGCUAACCAGAUCACAAUGCAAUAGGGAUCUUCUACUGCACAUGUUUAUUUUAUUUAUUUACUUUUUUGGUUUUAUCUCUUUCAUUUGCAUUGCCAUCUCUCAGGGAUGCUGACACCGUUGUGGAUGCUGUUGAGUUCGUACUUCAAAACUUCACGGAGAUGAAUAAACUCUGGGUCCGGAUGCAACAUCAGGUUGGUUGCAAUGGUAGUUAGAUAUCACACACUGUUCUGUUUGUGCAUGUAUAGUUGGUGCCCAAGUACAUGCAUAUUAUAGACUCGGCAUGCUUCUGUACCAUAACCAUAGUUGUGGUUAUGCAGGUAUUUUAGUGAUUUUGAAUUAUUUAUACUGUUAGGUGAUCCUGAGUUGAGACUAGGAAUUGGGCUUUCUGGUCUGCAGGGGCCUAUUCGGGAAAAAGAGAAGCGGGAAAAAGAAAGGAGUGAACUUCGUGAUCUUGUAAUAUCAUAAUCUUGGAACUUAUUAACUCCCAUCAAUCAAGCUAAAUUCUUCACCUUUUCUAAUGUUUUUACCUCUGCUUAUUUUUGUUUCUAGGUCGGCAAAAACCUUCAUGUUCUCAGCCAGUUAGAGGGUGUUGAUCUUGAUAUGUACAAAGAAACCGUUCUUCCCAGAAUAUUGGAACAGGUCAGAGUACUCUUAACUGUGAAGAAUUUUUAGACUAAUAUCAUGGCUUAGCGCAUUUUCUGAUACUUUUUCUGGUGAGAGUGUUGGUUCGACAGGUUGUCAAUUGUAAAGAUGAUAUUGCCCAGCAUUACUUGAUGGAUUGUAUAAUCCAAGUUUUUCCAGAUGAGUACCACUUGCAGACUCUUGAAACAUUAUUAAGUGCAUUCCCCCAGCUUCAGGUACUUAACAAAACCUGGCAAACAUCCUCUACUUGAGUUGGUCAUGCACGCGCACAUAUAUUCCAUCUGUUAUCUGGUCAAUUGUAUUUUUGAGCAUCCAUAUAUGGUGAUUAUUUAUACUUUUACAUCUGAAAUAACUUUAUUCAGUCUAAGGUUUUUCCAAACAUCAGAUGUCAUAUUAGUAAGAAAGAUUUGAAGUUCUGGCAGGAUGUUGGCUAGAUAUCUCAUGAUUGAGACAUUUUGAAUUUCAGAUAAUACUGGUAAAAACCUAAUAACCAUUAAAUAUUAACAAAAAAGCUGGAAUAAUUAGUUAUAUCUAUUAGAUGGCAUUGUUCAGUUCUGCUUUCAUGCAGUUGGGUAGAUGUAUGUGGAAACAAUAAGGGGCCUCUAUUAUGAUCUAUUUUUUUUCUUAGGAUGAUGAUUCUAAGGAACUUUAUAGAUCUGUUAUUUAAACAAUUGAUUAUGAUAUGGUGGUUCAAAAUUGGACUCCCCAAUCAUUAUAAAAUUUUGGGUUUCAUUUUUUUAAACGUGUAUAAGGUGAGCCUGGGAUACUUCAGCUUGACGCCUUGACCCUUAAUGAACUACCUAUCUGUGGCAUGAGUUUUGGGGAAUGAUAGACGUCUGAGAGCACUGAGAUUGGAGCAUGCUAGUUCACCAUGAUGAUCAGAUAUACCACACUAUUUCUUCAUGGUUCUAUGAUGUUUAGGAGAAAUAAUUAUUUCCUCCAUUCCUUUUUUUUUGGCAUAUCCACCCUAGAUGAAAUAAUUUUUAAAGGGAUGGAAGUUCGAUCAGUGCUAAUCUAUAUUGAGUUGAUGUUGAAUUCAAACUUCGACAAUUACUCCUGAAAUCUUGGUUUUUACUGGCUAUCUAUUUGUCUAGUAGUUUAUGAGCAUAGCUGUAAGGUACUCGAAGACACUAAUGCAAGAUGGUAAUAUGGAAAUUGAGUUUUUACUGUAGAGGAAACUACUGCUUCAAGUAACCUUUGUGGUUUGCAUGCUAGCAGUGUGAAGGGGGGGUUUUGAAUUUCCUGAGCAGGCGAUGCCUGAAACAUUUUGAUGACUCAUGGAUUGUUGAGAGGAAGCAUCCAUUACAUGCAUAGACAUUUAUGCAUACAUACAAAUAUCACCUCCAGAGAGUAUAUAAUAAAGUUUUGCAACAGUAAUUUGGGGGGCGAUAGAGACUUAGUAAUACUAUUUUGGCAACUAAAAAAAGAAGGAUCUUUGUUGGAAAGGUAACGACUACAUUAUGAACUAGAUGCAUGAAAUUGCUGAUCUCCCAAAUUGCAAUUGCACGAAUGGAUUAUUUGCUCUUCUAGAUCAGCAGCUGAUGCUUAUCCUAAUUGAUUUCUCCUCUUCUGUCUUAUGGUAGAUCUAGUAAUAAUUGAUGCAGCAAGAAAAAGUGCAAAUGCUAGAUAGAAACCAUGGAACAAAACUCAGUAAAAUAAAGUCCAAAAGAUAAAUCUCGGUUUAAAAUUAAUUAGGAGAUUGGGGGAGAUAGUUGAAGACAUCUCUAACAGAGUUUCAUGUAAUGGAUAAUGUGGAUGUUCUUAGAAGCAUCAUGUAACUGCUAGAGUUCUCUCAAUGUAAUUUUAAAUUUUAAUUUAUAAUAUUAUAAUUACAAUAUUAAUACUGUUGAUUAGGCAAUAAAAAGGAUUUUUACAUAGAUGAGCAUAAGGACAUGGAUUAAUGGAGAAUAAAGUGAACGGAGAAUAUUGAAAUCGUGCAGAUGGAGGUGUGGAAGGGGUGAAUGGUAGGAAACAGUCUUUAUGGUUUUGAAAAUAAUGACUUGUUUCAAUGAUUCGAUGGUCUAAUCUUUUUCAGUAAUUAAAGGCAAAACAUUCUUUCAAAUGCCCAAAUUGGGUGGGUCAAAGGUUGUUUAUUAUGAAUUUAUGACCAGUCAUUCCUUUUCUUUGAAAUAGGAAGGCAAUCAGUCCUCAUCUUUGAUUGGUUUUGUACAAUGUCAGUUUACAUGGGAAACAAAAAGAUUGCAGUUGAUGAAGAAAAUGUGAGAGUGCUUUAGUUGACUGAUUGAUACUUGCUUUCUAAACAAAGAAACUAAAAAGGAAUAAGAAAGAAUGGCAUCACAGUCAACCAAGUCAUUGAAGCAUAGAACACCAUUUUUGCUUCCCUUCCAUGUCCAUCCAAAUAAAGCUUGAAGAGGAUUUAAAGGUAUAUAUGGGGUAAAAAUCCUUUUAUAACCCUCAAAUAAGUUGGUGAUGCAGAUUGAGUUAUAACGCAAAAUUACCGUAUAUGCUUCAUCAUGGAGAAUUUCGUUUGCCUAAAGGUUGAUAGAGUAAUGAUACCUGCAAAUGCCCCACCUGAAAUCAGCUAAGCUUGUGUCUUUAACUUUGAACCUCCCAAGCGACCAAAAAGCUGAUACCCUCUUCGGUGAUCAUUCUCAAUUGCUUCUCACAUUCCAUAACAGCCACCAUGAGCACUAACAGCUUCUACGGCUCUGACUUGAACAUUCAUUCUAUCUUCCAGGCAUUCUCUUAACUCUUGAACAUGACAUGGAGACAAAUCAGUUUUGCUUUCUUAAAGUUAUUUCUAUCUUUUCUAUUGCACCAAUUCACAGAUUACCUCUGUCAAGCCGUAUAAAGAUCUUUGUUGGUGUUGAUAACUACCUAGGACAACAAAAAUUUAUAACUUAAUGGGAUCUUCUCACCACCAGACAACAUGCAUUGCUUGAGUGAAGUGCUUAACCAUUGUAUUCUAUAUCCUUAUAGUACUUGGACUUCUUCACCUUUACUUCCAUGAACACCAUUCUUUCUUGGCAAGAUUCAGUUCCCCGUAUAUGAUGCUUCCUCAUCUUUAGAACCAUCUCAUACCUUGAAACCUCCGCCUUAUCAUCACCCCAUCCCUAUUCAUGCACUAUUUAUCCAUCGUCCACGUUUACCUUGAGACUCUAUAGCAAAGGAGAGAUAAAUGGGUGGGUGAUUAAACAUGCCUGGGAGGGGGCAUAAAUCUUAGUCUAUUGACAAGUGGCACCUAGUCACCUCGGUCUGAUGUUGCUUUUGCCUAAAAUAGCAUAAUAUUAUCUAAAAAUUGCCCAUUUUUUUGGUCUUUUCAUUUCCUUUUAAAUGGAACAUUUACAUAUUAAGUGGAGAAUAUGGACUCCUUUUCUGCCCUUCUGUUAUUAUUUGCUGGGUAGAUUGCUAAGUGGUGAUAGUGAUUUACUCUUCAAUUCUAUUAUUAAUUUGCUCUUCAUUUCUCUUGUUAAUUAUCUACACAGAAACUUGUCAAUGCGAUAUAUCGAAGUUUCUUAGGUUUCAAUUUUCAUUGUUUGUGCAGCCAACAGUUGACAUCAAAACAGUACUAUCUCAGCUUAUGGAUAGGUUGUCAAAUUAUGCUGCCUCAAGUGCAGAAGUGAGUUUUCAACAUGCUUGUACCCUGACCUAAGAUUUGCAAAAUCCUUUCUCAUAUAUGAAAGCUGCAGGUAUUACCAGAGUUCUUGCAAGUUGAAGCUUUUGCCAAAUUGAGCAGUGCCAUUGGAAAGGUAUUUUGUAUAUGCAUUUUAUAGAAGUUAUUAUACUAAAUCUUUCUGCCUGUGUCAGUGUUUACACAAUGUAUAACUUGUAAUGAAUAUAUGCUGUCUUUUUGUAUCUUUUAAUUCAAGUAUUGCUGCAUAAGUAAGGUGUCCCAGUGUGUAAAAAUUGUAUAUUAUGUUGUUCUUCUGCCUGUUCAAGUUGCCCACUUCUGCUGCUGCACUUCUAUAGUUUAUCAUCUUCUGCUCACCCUUCAGAUAGUCCCUUAGGAUAGUACUUGAUUUCUUGGUUUGCGUAAUACUUUCCAUUCUAUUUGCUUAUUUACCCUGAAAAGAUAUCAUCACUGCAGGACCUCUUUUGUGUUUGUAGAUAUGUUAUUGUGUAAUUUAUAAUCUCAUGUGUAGCAGUUUUAUGUUGCUGAUCAAGUGUCAACCUGUCAAUCAUAACCAAGCUUUGAAAUCUUAAUAUUUGUGAUGGGUAAAGGAAGUAAACUUAUAUAAAAUUUUGUAAUCAUCAUAUGGCUCUCAGUAAUGGAAGGUUGGGGAUGCAUGUUUUUAUAAAAGUCUGCAUUGUUUAGAUGGUUUCUUUCUGAUUUCAUGCUUUGGAUAAAUAUUUUCUAUACAGUUUUUCUUGCUUCACUUUCGUGAGUGAGAGUAUGCAUUUUUCUCAUAUAAGUAUGCAUUUCCACACCAUAAUUAUCUUUCUUAGAUCCCCUAUAAUAUUCGUAGUUAUUUAUUUCAUGGUGUAUUAAAUGUUAUCUUGAUAAGUUGUCAAGGUCUGAUCCAUUUUUCCUUUAAAUUUUGAUAUUUUAAAAUUAGUUUUUUUUUGUGGUGUUAUUUGACAGGUGAUUGAAGCACAGGUUGACAUGCCUAUAGUUGGAGCAAUAACUCUAUAUGUGUCCCUUCUGACGUUUACUCUUCGUGUACAUCCUGAUCGGCUUGAUUAUGUGGAUCAAGUACUGGUAUGUGCUCUUCAUUUUAAGCUGUAUGUUGAACUAUGAUAUGCAGGUCCGACCAAGGUAAAAGAAUGUUAUAUUGUAAGAGGAUGAUUUAUGCUGAUGAUAUGUUUGAAUUGUUUCUUACCUAAAAUAUAUAAUGUGCAAGCUUACCUUACAAAACGUCCCAUUUAUAUUUGUGAAAUAAUAUGAUAAACAUCUAUAUGACCGCUCUUAAGGUCAUGCCUAUAACACACACAAAGAUGAUGUUAUAUUCACUGGUUUAGUUGUGUUUUAUUUUGGUGCAUAAUCUCAUACAUUGGCUCUAUGUGAAUAAAGAUGCUGACUAAUAUGUGCCAUUCUAUAUUCCAACAGGGAGCAUGUGUUAAGAAACUUUCAGGCAAAGCAAAGCUUGAGGAUAGCAAAGCAACUAAGCAAAUUGUCGCACUUCUGAGUGCUCCACUGGAGAAGUAUAAUGAUAUUGUUACUGCAUUGAAGCUUUCUAACUAUCCCCGUGUCAUGGAUCACUUAGAUAAUGGGACAAACAAAGUCAUGGCUGUGGUGAUUAUCCAAAGCAUCAUGAAAAACAGUACCUGCAUAUCAACUGCUGAUAAAGUACGUCUUUGUUUCUCAUGUUUGUAAUGUUCAUAUAGGGGGAAUUUUUAGUUAUAACAUAAGAUUGGCCUUUUCUUCUCAUGUCUUUUUUUUUAAAGGUGGAAGCUCUAUUUGAAUUAAUAAAAGGGCUUAUAAAGGAUAUGGAUGGAACCCCAGAUGAUGAGGUGAGCAUUGAAAUAUCCAUAUUGAUUAGAUGAUCUGGUUUACACUUUCUGUUUUCAAGAAAAAAAUUCUUGCACUGCCAAGAAGCUCAAACACCUUUCCACCUGAUACCUUCCUCUUUUAUCCUUCCUUCACAAGGAUUUAGUUGUUGGUGUCAUGUUAUCUGGUUGAUGGCAUGCUUUACAAUUAUUUUUUCUUUUUCUAUAGCUUGAUGAAGAGGAUUUUAAAGAGGAGCAGAACUCUGUUGCUCGACUCAUUCACAUGCUGUAUAACGAUGAUCCUGAGGAGAUGUUGAAGGUAGCUGACAUUAUUGCUCAUGUGCACAUCUUUAUUCUCAUUUGCAUAUAUGCAUAUUGUCAAUGCUUGAAUUGAUAAUGAGAACUUCCAAUGAAUUUCCACCUUUAAGUUUAUAGCUGUUUACAUGUUUUGUGCCUUUUUUGGUUCUUACUGUUUUGUAGAGUGAGCUAGGAGAAAUGAGGUUCUAGACUAAAUAACAGAUGCUUUGUUUAUGAUUACUCCUUGUGGGCCAUUUCUGCCAAAAUUAAAAUCCAGGGAUUUUUGAAUUAAAGAUGACUAGGUCUACAUAUUGUGUACCUUUUCUUAAAUCUGGAUGAGGUCUUGGUAGUGCAGUUGGCCCAAACAAGAAUCAAACUUAAAAUAAAAUAUUUAUAAAAACAUGAGAUGGUCAGAUCAAAUUGAACUGCAAAAUCUGGUAAGAUUUAUAUAGGUUCUUAGAGAUAGUAAAAUAUUUUACUAUUUGUAUUUAUUUUGUUUACAAUUGUAUUUAUUUUGUUUACAAUAAAGAGUGACCAGAUUGUAUAAUGUUCCAGCCUUACUCAUACUUAUCUAGUUGACUUGAAACUUUGAUUUUCAUUUCAGUUUGCUGAUAAAUUAUGACAAUAGCAUGAAGAUAAUUGACAAUCAAAAGAUUUAGAUGCUAUAGCUACUACAUUUCUGGUCAACAUGAAUCUUAAGUUAGAAUCCUAUUGAUGUGAUUGGGAACUCAAUCUCUAUUAGUGCAAAAUCAAUGACAUGCCUUACAAAUUGGGUUUUGCAUCAUUCAUCAUGAUCUACUAUUAUAUUCUAAAAACAAGUAGUUAUAUAUUUAAGAAUUCUUGUAUCCAUGCAUCAAGUGGAUCCAACUACUGUAGACAAUGUUACAAUGAUAAAUUAUAUUUAGGCCAAAUAAAUCGAGAAUUCAAGCUGUUGAUCAUAUUUAAGCAAUUUAUUGUGCUUUUAAAGGUAUGCAUUUUAUGACUUUGAUGCAUUAGUAAGUAAUGCUGAGAAAAAAUUUGAUUUUUGAUAUCUAUGGAUUCUGAGCUUUCAAUCCUACGAGUAUGGGUCUAGCUUAACAUAUCAUUAAAACAUUUAAUAGUAACAGUUCAGUUCAAGGUUUAAAGUACCAGUAAUAGUUCUCACCCCCAUCUGAUAGCUUAGUCAGUAAAGUACCAGGAUGGACUGGAAACAACCAGAAUGAAGGGGAAAAAAUAAAAAAAAUCAUGUCCCAGGAUUCUAGGCUGUUCAACUGUCAGGAUGCAACUGUCCUGGUCCGCUCAGCUAGUAUCAAUUGCGAUUAGUUGGGAUGCCCUGGUUCAUGAGUUAACUGGUGUCCGGGAGCAUCCUGGUACCAUUCUCUUGUCAAAACAGUAAUGGUAUUAGCGGGAUGCACUAAAACAUGAAUCCCUGUUAAAUUAAAAUCAUACCAAGUCAGAACCAAUCUUGGCUUGGAGUGCAAGUGUUGCUAUGCUGAAAUGUAGAUCAAAAUCCUCGAUUUUAUGCUGUGUAUGGAUAGAAGUUCCUUUGUGUACUGGAAGAUUUUUCUCAACUUUUUAUGGUCGUGUGCCCAUACCUUGCUGGGAGAAUAUGCUCAAUUCAAUAUCUAGCAGCUCUUCCUUAUUCUUAUAAUUCUUUGGAUGCAUCCCAAUUUUUCAGACAUUAGAUAUGCUACAUAAAACAUUUAAAUGAAGGGUCCAUUUGAACUACAUUGCAAGUAUGCUAAUCAUGCUAUGCUCAGUUCUGAAUAGUAAGCAUGAAAAGUCUUGAAUCUUUAUCAAGAUGGUGCUUUUUCCCCCAUUAUCCAUGUCCUAAAUUUAUGAGUAACAGAUAUACUACCUGGUAAACUUUCAAAUUGAUGUAGGAAGCGUUCUCCAAAUGUCAAGAUCUAGAAGUUUAUUUGCAUUGAAAAAGAAUUGGAUAAAUGAUGCAUAAAGCUAUCUGUGCUCCAUCCAUUCUGUUCAUAUGCCUUUUUUCUGAUUACUUUUCUAAUUAUCUUACUAAUUUUUGUGCAUUAAGAUUCGAAAUUAAUUAAAUAUCACUAUGUUGAAAUUUCAGGUAGAAUGAAAUAUGUUUAUUUUCUUGCUAACUGUCACCAAUUUAUGUUGCCCAAGUAACUUAACACUUAAUUGUAUUGUGCUUUUGAGGGGGAAGAUCGGACCACAUUAUAGUACAAUGUUGAUUAUGACCAUCAUGUAUUGGUUUUUCAGAUCAUAUGUACUGUGAGGAAGCAUAUUCUUCUUGGAGGUCCCAAGCGCCUGCCUUUUACUGUACCUCCCCUUGUCUUUUCUUCUCUAAAGGUUUGUCUAUGUCAAAUUCUAAAUUUGCAUCUAAACCUUUACUCUCUGCUUACAUAUGCAUAGAUAGAUAUGAUUAAGCAUUACCAUGCUAUUUAUGGGUAAAUCUAUUUUACUAAGUGUGUGUGUGUAUCAGAGUUGUUCGAUAUGAAAUUUUUGAUGUGUAACCUAUCUCGAUAUCCACUAUCUAGUAUUCGGGUAAUAUGUAGUAUACUAUGAUAGCACCCAAUUUUUUCAAUUCGGCAGUUCGAUAUAUGAUUUAUCAUUCAUGGACGUUGAUAAGAUCCUUCCAUUUAGCAGCACCUUAGGAUGGCAUAGCCUUAACAUUAAUGGCGAGGUUCAAACGAGGAAAGGCUUACGGUGGAUACCUAGGCACCCAGAGACGAGGAAGGGCGUAGCAAGCGACGAAAUGCUUUGGGGAGUUGAAAAUAAGCAUAGAUCCGGAGAUAAAAAGGGAACAUAAUCCCACUUUAGUUCUUUACCAUAACCAUACAUAUAUUUUUUACCCAUUUCCUUCACGAGUACGUUCGCCUACUCCGCCAAAUACGGAUACGCCUCCAUGAGCUUUGGCAAUGUUAUUGAUCAAUUCCAUGAUGAGUACUGUUUUACCCACUCCAGGCCGACAUUCUCGCUUCCGCUUCGUCCACACCUGCUUGUGCCUCUGAAAUAGAUCUUCUAGGUAAGCGGAUUCAAGCGCUUUUUUUAGGGGUUUGGUGGUCCCGCUUCUUUAUAAAAAAUCGAAGGGCCUUAUUGAUGACGGAUUUGAGGGACUUGGAACUGGGUCUGAGGGAACCAACGGACUUUCCUUCGGGAAAGCCCACGCUGACCGGCUUUCAAAAGUCAGGCAGGGAGCCAGAAUCGGUUUUGAAAGAAGACACAAUCUAUUAAUUUGAUCUAUUUCAGAUAGCCUACUAUAUCAUAGUGUCAUCCACUAGUAUUUAUAAUACCUCGGGAGCUAAUGAAACAAGAUGAAUUGGAAUUAUCAUGUGUUCAUGUGAAGCUUCAUGAGUGGCUAGUGAUUAAGCAACACUUACUCCUUUAAUGUCUUAUUACCUUUUUAUAUCAAUAACGAGCAUGUCAGGCAUACAUAAAGAUCAUCUAGUGACG
rnacentral:lncRNA from 1 species